rnacentral:rRNA from 1 species
AUUUCGUUUGAUUUGCUUUGUCCUCGUCCUCUGCACAUGAUGCUAACUUGGAUUUUGCUUGGGCAGGUGCCUUUCUCUCUUGAGGACCCGGAUUACAAGGGUCUUGAGCUAGAUCUGAUAGUGCUGUGCGAGAAGCAUGGGAAGCCAUCAGAGAGGCUUGUUGCAUUUGAAGGAACAAUGACUGGGAGAAGGUUCUUAGCAUGUGCAGAGCCGGAAGGUCAGAAUUGUGGGUUUGUUCAGUGGGUUGAUGAGCAGUGGCCCCCAACAAUGGAGAAUGCAUUGCUGAAGCUUUGGUCAAUGGUUGAAGAGAGCAAGUCUGCUAGGGUGAAUGAUAAUCUUCAAAGUGCUUUAACUAUUCACCAUUUGACAGAAGAAAAGAAGAAGCUGGAUGCAGACUACGACAAGUUAGUGAAAGAUGUGCAUCAACUUGUGGACUUUCAGCAGGAUAGGGUUGUGGAUUUCAGUUAUAUGCAGUCAGCUGUCACAUAUCAGCACCAAUGCAGGGCUGAAUUGGUGGCUGGUAUGAAUGCAGAAAUGGCAGAGAAAGAUGCAGCAACAGAGAAGCUUCAACAGAAGUAUGAAAUCCUGUGUAACCUGACAAGUGCUCAAGCAACUGCCAUCCAAAACCUCAAGUUGAAGAAUAUGAAAGAGAAGGAAUUGAUGAGUGAGGCUAGGAUGAAUUUGGAGUUGAAGAAUGCAGAGUUCACAAAGUUUGAGGAGAAGCUCACCCAAGAGAAGCUAGAGUUGAAGUUCCAGGUUGCUGAUCUGCUGAAGCUCAAGGAAAACCAUAAUGAAGAGAAGCAUAUGCAAGAGUUUAAUAUUACUGAGCUCAUGAAGGCAGAGGAGAAGCUGAAGGAGAAGAUCAAGGGGAUCCAGGCCAUCUUGGAGAACUGA